GAUAGUGGACGUUACUCGCAGAAUAAGCACCGGCUAACUCUGUGCCAGCAGCCGCGGUAAUACAGAGGGUGCGAGCGUUAAUCGGAUUUACUGGGCGUAAAGCGUGCGUAGGCGGCUGAUUAAGUCGGAUGUGAAAUCCCUGAGCUUAACUUAGGAAUUGCAUUCGAUACUGGUCAGCUAGAGUAUGGGAGAGGAUGGUAGAAUUCCAGGUGUAGCGGUGAAAUGCGUAGAGAUCUGGAGGAAUACCGAUGGCGAAGGCAGCCAUCUGGCCUAAUACUGACGCUGAGGUACGAAAGCAUGGGGAGCAAACAGGAUUAGAUACCCUGGUAGUCCAUGCCGUAAACGAUGUCUACUAGCCGUUGGGGCCUUUGAGGCUUUAGUGGCGCAGCUAACGCGAUAAGUAGACCGCCUGGGGAGUACGGUCGCAAGACUAAAACUCAAAUGAAUUGACGGGGGCCCGCACAAGCGGUGGAGCAUGUGGUUUAAUUCGAUGCAACGCGAAGAACCUUACCUGGCCUUGACAUAGUAGAAACUUUCCAGAGAUGGAUUGGUGCCUUCGGGAAUCUACAUACAGGUGCUGCAUGGCUGUCGUCAGCUCGUGUCGUGAGAUGUUGGGUUAAGUCCCGCAACGAGCGCAACCCUUUUCCUUACUUGCCAGCAUUUCGGAUGGGAACUUUAAGGAUACUGCCAGUGACAAACUGGAGGAAGGCGGGGACGACGUCAAGUCAUCAUGGCCCUUACGGCCAGGGCUACACACGUGCUACAAUGGUCGGUACAAAGGGUUGCUACCUAGCGAUAGGAUGCUAAUCUCAAAAAGCCGAUCGUAGUCCGGAUUGGAGUCUGCAACUCGACUCCAUGAAGUCGGAAUCGCUAGUAAUCGCGGAUCAGAAUGCCGCGGUGAAUACGUUCCCGGGCCUUGUACACACCGCCCGUCACACCAUGGGAGUUUGUUGCACCAGAAGUAGGUAGUCUAACCUUAGGGGGGACGCUUACCACGGUGUGGCCGAUGACUGGGGUGAAGUCGUAACAAGGUAGCCGUAGGGGAACCUGCGGCUGGAUCACCU
rnacentral:rRNA from 1 species